GUGGGGAAUCUUCCGCAAUGGACGAAAGUCUGACGGAGCGACGCCGCGUGAGUGAAGAAGGCCUUCGGGUCGUAAAGCUCUGUCAUCAGGGACGAACGGCCGGUGGAGUGGAAAGCCACCGGAUUGACGGUACCUGAGAAGGAAGCCACGGCUAACUACGUGCCAGCAGCCGCGGGAAUACGUAGGUGGCAAGCGUUGUCCGGAAUUAUUGGGCGUAAAGCGCGCGCAGGUGGGAUCUUAAGUCCAUUUUUAAAGUUCGGAGCUCAACUCCGUGAUGGGAUAGAAACUGGGAGUCUUGAGUACCGGAGAGGAAAGCGGAAUUCCCCGUGUAGCGGUGAAAUGCGUAGAUAUGGGGAGGAACACCAGUGGCGAAGGCGGCUUUCUGGACGGUGUCUGACACUGAGGCGCGAAAGCCAGGGGAGCGAACGGGAUUAGAAACCCCGGUAGUCC
rnacentral:rRNA from 1 species